AGUGGCGGACGGGUGAGUAACACGUAAGAAUUUGCCUUUAGGGGGGGGAUUAAUACCCCAUAUGCUUUCGAGUGAAAUGGAUUUUUCCGCCUAGAGAGAAGCUUGCGGCUGAUUAGCUUGUUGGUGAGGUAAUGGCUUACCAAGGCGACGAUCAGUAUCUGGUUUGAGAGGACGAUCAGACACACUGGAACUGAGACACGGUCCAGACUCCUACGGGAGGCAGCAGUGGGGAAUUUUCCGCAAUGGGCGAAAGCCUGACGGAGCAAUCUCGCGUGAGGGAUGACUGCCUAUGGGUUGUAAACCUCUUUUUUCAGGGAGGAAUCAAUGACGUGUACCUGAAGAAUAAGCAUCGGCUAACUCCGUGCCAGCAGCCGCGGUAAGACGGAGGAUGCAAGUGUUAUCCGGAAUCACUGGGCGUAAAGCGUCUGAAGGUGGUUUAAUAAGUCAACUGUUAAAUCUUGAAGCUCAACUUCAAAAUCGGAGUCGAAACUAUUAGACUAGAGUAUAGUAGGGGUAAAGGGAAUUUCCAGUGGAGCGGUGAAAUGCGUAGAGAUUGGAAAGAACACCGAUGGCGAAGGCACUUUACUGGGCUAUUACUGACACUCAGAGACGAAAGCUAGGGUAGCAAAUGGGAUUAGAUACCCCAGUAGUCCUAGCCGUGACCAAUGGAUACUAGAUGUUGAACAGAUCGACCUGUGCA
rnacentral:rRNA from 1 species